CAGGGAAGACGGGCAGUCGCAUUGGUAGUAUUAAUACUGAUGAGGAAAGUCCGAACUCCAUAGAACAAUGCACUUCGUAACACGAAGGCGGCAAGUGAUUAACGAGCCGACGGAUAGUGCAACAGAAAAUACAACGCCAAUCCGGUCUGAGUUUUUCAGAUGUCAUGGAGGUAAGUGUGAAAUGGUGGUGUAAGAGACUACCAGCGGUGCAGGUGACUGCAUCGGCUUGGCAAACCCUGCAUGGAGCAAAGCCAAAUAAAAAUACAGAUUGCUAAGCAAUGAAGGGUUGUUCGCUCUUUUUUCCAUUAUGGAAACUGUAUUUGGGUAGGCUGCUUGAGGGUAUCGGCAACGAUACUCCCAGAUUAAUGACUGCCUCCAUCUUGUGAUGAAGACAGAAUUCGGCUUACAGUUUUCUCUGCAUU
rnacentral:RNase_P_RNA from 1 species